rnacentral:rRNA from 1 species
GACGAACGCUGGCGGCGUGCUUAACACAUGCAAGUCGAACGGAAAGGCCCUGCUUUUGUGGGGUGCUCGAGUGGCGAACGGGUGAGUAACACGUGAGUAACCUGCCCUUGACUUUGGGAUAACUUCAGGAAACUGGGGCUAAUACCGGAUAGGAGCUCCUGCUGCAUGGUGGGGGUUGGAAAGUUUCGGCGGUUGGGGAUGGACUCGCGGCUUAUCAGCUUGUUGGUGGGGUAGUUGCUUACCAAGGUUUUGACGGGUAGCCGGCCUGAGAGGGUGACCGGCCACCUUGGGCCUGAGAUACGGCCCAGACUCCUACGGGCGGCAGCAGUGGGGAAUAUUGCACAAUGGGCGGAAGCCUGAUGCAGCAACGCCGCGUGCGGGAUGACGGCCUUCGGGUUGUAAACCGCUUUCGCCUGUGACGAAGCGUGAGUGACGGUAAUGGGUAAAGAAGCACCGGCUAACUACGUG